AUGAAACGCUAGCGGCAGGCUUAAUACAUGCAAGUCGUGGGGCAGCAGGGGUGUAGCAAUACACUCGCUGGCGACCGGCAAACGGGUGUGGAACACGUACACAACCUUCCUUUAAGUGGGGAAUAGCCCGGGGAAACCCGGAUUAAUACCCCGUAACAUAGUGAAAAGGCAUCUUUUUAUAUUAUAGCAGCAAUGCGCUUGAUGAUGGGUGUGCGCCUGAUUAGGCAGUUGGCGGGGUAACGGCCCACCAAACCUACGAUCAGUAACUGGUGUGAGAGCACGACCAGUCACACGGGCACUGAGACACGGGCCCGACUCCUACGGGAGGCAGCAGUAAGGAAUAUGGUCAAUGGACGCAAGUCUGAACACAGCCAUGCCGCGUGGAGGAUGAAGGUCCUCUGGAUUGUAAACUUCUUUUAUCUGGAAGAAAUCCAUGAAUUCUUUUGUGGUUGACGGUACCAGAUGAAUAAGCACCGGCUAGCUCCGUGCCAGCAGCCGCGGUAAUACGGAGGGUGCCAGCGUUAUCCGGAUUACUGGGUUUAAAGGGUGCGUAGGUGGGCUGGUAAGUCAGUGGUGAAAUCUCCAGGCUUAACUUGGAAACUGCCAUGAUACUAUCAGUCUUGAAUACCGUGGAGGUCAGCGGAAUAUGUCAUGUAGCGGUGAAAUGCUUAGAUAUACAUAGAACACCAAUUGCGAAGGCAGCUGGCUACUCGGAUAUUGACACUGAUGCACGAAAGCGUGGGGAUCAAACAGGAUUAGAUAUCCUGGUAGUCCACGCCCCUAAACGAAUGGAUACUCGACAUACGCGAUACACAGUGUGUGUCUGAGCGAAAGCAUUAAGUAUCCCACCUGGGAAGUACGAUCGCAAGAUUGAAACUCAAAGGAAUUGGCGGGGGUCCGCACAAGCGGUGGAGCAUUGUGUUAAUUCGAUGAUACGCGAGGAACCUUACCUGGGCUAGAAUGUCAGUGGACUGUGGGUGAUAAGCUCACUUGAUGUCAGCAAAUACACCGUGAUAAGGUUGCUGCAUGGCUGUCGUCAGCUCGUGCCGUGAGGUGUUGGGUUAAGUCCCGCAACGAGCGCAACCCCCAUCAAUAGUUGCCAUCAGGUAACGCUGGGAACUCUAGUGAAACUGCCGUCGUAAGACGUGAGGAAGGAGGGGAUGAUGUCAAGUCAUCAUGGCCUUUAUGCCCAGGGCUACACACGUGCUACAAUGGAGUGUACAAGAGCCGCAUACACGGCGACGUGAAUGCCAUCUCAAAAACACUUCUCAGUUCAGAUUGACAGUCUGCAACUCGACUUCAUGAAGCUGAAUCGCUAGUAAUCGUAUAUCAGCAAUGAUACGGUGAAUACGUUCCCGGACCUUGCACACACCGCCCGUCAAGCCAUGGAAGCCGGGUGUACCUAAGUCGAUAACCGUUAAGGAGUCGCCUAGGGUAAAACUGGUAACUGGGGCU
rnacentral:rRNA from 1 species